GAUGAACGCUGGCGGCGUGCCUAAUACAUGCAAGUCGAGCGAACGGACGAGAAGCUUGCUUCUCUAAUGUUAGCGGCGGACGGGUGAGUAACACGUGGAUAACCUACCUAUAAGACUGGGAUAACUUCGGGAAACCGGAGCUAAUACCGGAUGAUAUUUUGAACCGCAUGGUUCAAAAGUGAAAGACGGUCUUGCUGUCACUUAUAGAUGGAUCCGCGCUGCAUUAGCUAGUUGGUAAGGUAACGGCUUACCAAGGCAACGAUGCAUAGCCGACCUGAGAGGGUGAUCGGCCACACUGGAACUGAGACACGGUCCAGACUCCUACGGGAGGCAGCAGUAGGGAAUCUUCCGCAAAGGGCGAAAGCCUGACGGAGCAACGCCGCGUGAGUGAUGAAGGUCUUCGGAUCGUAAAACUCUGUUAUUAGGGAAGAACAUAUGUGUAAGUAACUGUGCACAUCUUGACGGUACCUAAUCAGAAAGCCACGGCUAACUACGUG
rnacentral:rRNA from 1 species